GGGCGUGUAGCUCAGGGGUAGAGCGCUCGCUUUGCAUCCGCUAGACCGCGUGGUCAAAAGCGAAAAAAUGCGAGAGGCCUAGGGUUCAAAUCCCUACUCGUCCA